rnacentral:rRNA from 1 species
CUACGGGUUGCAGCAGCGAGGAAUAUUGCACAAUGGAGGAAACUCUGAUGCAGCAACGCCGCGUGGAGGAUGACGCAUUUCGGUGUGUAAACUCCUUUUAUAUGUCAAGAAAAUGACGGUAGCAUAUGAAUAAGCACCGGCUAACUCCGUGCCAGCAGCCGCGGUAAUACGGAGGGUGCAAGCGUUACUCGGAAUCACUGGGCGUAAAGGACGCGUAGGCGGGAUAUCAAGUCAGGUGUGAAAUCCUACAGCUUAACUGUAGAACUGCACUUGAAACUGGUAACCUAGAGUAUGGGAGGGGGAGAUGGAAUUAGUGGUGUAGGGGUAAAAUCCGUAGAUAUCACUAGGAAUACCUAAAGCGAAGGCGAUCUCCUGGAACAUAACUGACGCUAAGGCGUGAAAGCGUGGGGAGCAAACAGGAUUAGAUACCCCCGUAGUC